GAUGAACGCUGGCGGCGUGCCUAAUACAUGCAAGUCGAGCGAACAGACGAGGAGCUUGCUCCUCUGACGUUAGCGGCGGACGGGUGAGUAACACGUGGAUAACCUACCUAUAAGACUGGGAUAACUUCGGGAAACCGGAUCUAAUACCGGAUAAUAUAUUGAACCGCAUGGUUCAAUAGUGAAAGACGGUUUUGCUGUCACUUAUAGAUGGAUCCGCGCCGCAUUAGCUAGUUGGUAAGGUAACGGCUUACCAAGGCAACGAUGCGUAGCCGACCUGAGAGGGUGAUCGGCCACACUGGAACUGAGACACGGUCCAGACUCCUACGGGAGGCAGCAGAGGGGAAUCUUCCGCAAUGGGCGAAAGCCUGACGGAGCAACGCCGCGUGAGUGAUGAAGGUCUUCGGAUCGUAAAACUCUGUUAUUAGGGAAGAACAAAUGUGUAAGUAACUAUGCACGUCUUGACGGUACCUAAUCAGAAAGCCACGGCUAACUACGUG
rnacentral:rRNA from 1 species